UGGGGAAUAUUGCACAAUGGGCGCAAGCCUGAUGCAGCCAUGCCGCGUGUGUGAAGAAGGCCUUCGGGUUGUAAAGCACUUUCAGCGAGGAGGAAGGUGGUGAGCUUAAUACGCUCAUCAAUUGACGUUACUCGCAGAAGAAGCACCGGCUAACUCCGUGCAAGCAGCCGCGGUAAUACGGAGGGUGCAAGCGUUAAUCGGAAUUACUGGGCGUAGAGCGCACGCAGGCGGUUUGUUAAGUCAGAUGUGAAAUCCCCGGGCUCAACCUGGGAACUGCAUUUGAAACUGGCAAGCUAGAGUCUCGUAGAGGGGGGUAGAAUUCCAGGUGUAGCGGUGAAAUGCGUAGAGAUCUGGAGGAAUACCGGUGGCGAAGGCGGCCCCCUGGANGAAGACUGA
rnacentral:rRNA from 1 species